rnacentral:lncRNA from 1 species
ACAAAUGGACUUCAUAGAUCUCUAUAGAGUGUUCUAAUCAACAACAAAUGAACAGACAUUCUUCUCAGAAUCACACUGACUUUCUCAAAAAUGGACUGCAUAUUAGCCCAUACAGCAUGCUGAAGUACUCGUAAAAGAAUCAAAAUUACUGUGCAUAGUGUCAGAUCACAAUGCAAUGAAACUAGAAGUCAAUGGUGAAAGACAGGGCCAUCAUAGAGCAGCAAAGGAGUAAAGAAGCAGCAGGUCACAAGAGACAAGCAGUGACCACCUUUUAGUUCCUUAUGUCCUAUCCAGGCAACACACCCUUGGAGUAGGCAGCAGUCACCCCAAGGUGGGGCACCUUUCAUCCUAGCAUUGCACCACGAAUCAGUCCCAGCAUCACAUCCUUGUUCCCAGCAGCACACACCCUAGAUCCAGUCCCCUCUGAAGAGCCCCAGCUAUGACUGCAUGAGGUUUGGGAGGACAUCUAGACACAAGCCAUCAUGCCUCUAAUCUUACCACUCAGAAGACUUGAGCACUCUGGAGGCUAAGGCAGGAGGACCACCAUGAGUUCCUAACAAGACCCUGUCUCAAAAAACAAAAAGCAAACCAAAAUUAAAGAAAACCUUGUUAUGCUGUAACAUAACAAGAGAAGAGAACCUCAAAGACAAUGUUGUAAGAGAACCUCAAAGACAAUGUUGUGUAAUCCCUCCCAAGCCCACUCUGCCUUAUGAAUUCAUCAGACUCAGAUUGUAUUUGUGUGCAUGGAACACUUAAGCAUCCCUCAUGACUUGUGGAACAUGAAUGCCUGCCUCGACUCAGACAGUCUCUUCUGUGGCCUCCCUGUGUGCUUCAAGGUGCACAAGAAGUCAAGCAGGGCCAGGAGACCUGGUCCCUGGACAGGGAAGAUGCCAUCUCCCCAAGCAUCGCGGCCUGCUCCUGGACACCAAAGAUGAAGAAAGCCACAGCAGGGUUUGGUGGUCCUCAGCACCCACAGCGGGAUCAACCCCAGCAGGAUGCGCCAGGGCAGCAGCAGCUCCCUGAGCACUCGGAGAUGUCUAUCCCCAAGCGUGCUAGUCUGGAAACGCUCUACCAGGAGAGGCCAAAAGAGAAGCCCUGCCAAGCUGGGCCUCCACAGGUCAAUCCGAGGCCAUGGAGCCCCAGCCACUUGCAAGGGGAUGCGAGAGUGCCAGGCCAAGAGAGCUGGCCAAGAAACAUCACUGCCAUCUGAGAGAUAGCCAAAGGUCUGCCUGCCUCUGCCUCCACUGGGGUAGACCUGAAACUGUCCACCCACACUUACCCAUGAUGGGGGCAAGAAACUACCUCUUGGGGCCCUG